GUCCCAGUGAAUGGCAAGAUUAUGAGAUCUGAGGGCCCUCCCCCGGGGGCGCCGAGUGCUCCUUAGCCUUCCUCGGGUC